AGGACGAACGCUGGCGGCGUGCUUAACACAUGCAAGUCGAGCGGAAAGGCCCUUCGGGGUACUCGAGCGGCGAACGGGUGAGUAACACGUGAGCAACCUGCCCUUAGCUCUGGGAUAGCUCCGGGAAACCGGAAUUAAUACCGGAUACGACCUAGGCCGACAUCGGCCAUGGUGGAAAGUUUUUCGGCUAGGGAUGGACUCGCGGCCUAUCAGCUAGUUGGUGGGGUAAAGGCCUACCAAGGCGACGACGGGUAGCCGGCCUGAGAGGGCGACCGGCCACACUGGGACUGAGACACGGCCCAGACUCCUACGGGAGGCAGCAGUGGGGAAUCUUGCGCAAUGGGCGAAAGCCUGACGCAGCGACGCCGCGUGGGGGAUGAAGGCCUUCGGGUUGUAAACCCCUUUCAGCAGGGACGAAGCGAAGUGACGGUACCUGCAGAGAAGCGCCGGCUAACUACGCGCCAGCAGCCGC
rnacentral:rRNA from 1 species